CGGGGUGCAGCAGGCGCGAAACCUUUGCAAUGUGCGAAAGCACGACAAGGUUAAUCCGAGUGUCUCCUGCUAAAGGAGUCUUUUGUCAGUCAUAGAACCACUGGUGAAUAAGGGGUGGGCAAGUUCUGGUGUCAGCCGCCGCGGUAAAACCAGCACCUCGAGUGGUCAGGAGGUUUAUUGGGCCUAAAGCAUCCGUAGCCGGUUGUUUAAGUUUUCGGUUAAAUCUAUGCGCUUAACGUAUAGGCUGCCGAAAAUACUGGACAGCUAGGGAGUGAGAGAGGUACACGGUACUCGAUAGGAAGGGGUAAAAUCCUUUGAUCUAUUGAUGACCACCUGUGGCGAAGGCGGUGUACCAGAACACGUUCGACGGUGAGGGAUGAAAGCUGGGGGAGCAAACCGGAUUAGAUACCCGGGUAGUCCCAGCUGUAAACGAUGCAAACUCGGUGAUGCAUUGGCUUGUGGCCAAUGCAGUGCCGCAGGGAAGCCGUUAAGUUUGCCGCCUGGGAAGUACGUACGCAAGUAUGAAACUUAAAGGAAUUGGCGGGGGAGC
rnacentral:rRNA from 1 species